rnacentral:rRNA from 1 species
GACGAACGCUGGCGGCGUGCCUAACACAUGCAAGUCGAACGAGGUCCAUGAGAGCUUGCUCUCAGAAGACCUAGUGGCGAACGGGUGAGUAACACGUGAGAAACCUGCCUCGGAGUGGGGAAUAACUCGGGGAAACUCGAGCUAAUACCGCAUAUCUUCACAUGAUCGCAUGGUCGAGUGAAGAAAGAAUUUCGCUCUGAGAGGGUCUCGCGGCCUAUCAGCUUGUUGGUGGGGUAACGGCCCACCAAGGCAACGACGGGUAGCUGGUUUGAGAGAACGAUCAGCCACACUGGGACUGAGACACGGCCCAGACUCCUACGGGAGGCAGCAGUGGGGAAUCUUGCGCAAUGGGCGAAAGCCUGACGCAGCAACGCCGCGUGCGGGAUGACGGCCUUCGUGGUUGUAAACCGCUUUCAGCAGGGACGAAAAUGACGGUACCUGCAGAGAAGCCCCGGCUAACUACGUGCCAGCAGCCG